ensembl:lncRNA
ACAGCAUGGCCAAAUGCACAGUUGGAGAGCAACGUGAAAAGGUGUCUUGUGAAUAGGAAAGUAACGUCCUGCCUAAUUUUGGAUGGCCUUGAGUGCUAGAAUUUCAGCUUUGCUUUUGAAGUUAUGGAAGUCACUUUAAUGCCAAGAUUUUUCUGAUAAGGCUUUAGCACUGAAUAGAUCUCAGAACCUUUCAGAUUCUUCACUUAAUUCAGCUAUUUGCAAAAGGCCACAUCACAUUGCAUUGUAGAUUCCUGCUCUCUGAUCAAACUCCUUUUCUGAACUGGAAGCAAUGUGAAAGUAAGUAGCAGGGUAGACUUGGCAUUCUUUAUACCUCAGGUGGAGUAUAGCACAUGGAAAAAAAUUGAUGAUAUAUGGGUUGCUUGAAAGAAUGAGUGAACAAAGAAAAGAAACAGUGAAUUAGAAAUGCAAUUUCAAUUUCCUGUGCUUAGAUAUGUGGAUAAAAGCACAGGUUUGUUGGAAGGCAGAGCCGUCUAGUUGUCUAUCUAUGUCCUUUUGCUCAGUCCUGGCUCCUUAGAAACAUUGUGUAUCUUUAUGAAGCCUACAAACCAGUUCUGGCAUGACUCAUAUAUGUAAAGAACAGAUUUUCAUUUUGUUUUAGCUCAUGCUAUUUUGCAGUGUUCAAUUUUAGACAACUGAAACUGAAACUUCAUCUGAACAUACAUUAUUGGUAUGAAACUUUAUUGAAAUAAUCGGUAUCAAAAUUAUUAAUAUAAUGCUACUAAACACUAUAAUGUGUCUGUGUCCACGAGUGUAUACACACACACACACACACACACACAUGCACAAAACAGAGACAGAGAAAAAGUAAUUGUUUUUCCAUUUGUGCUUCUCAGGAGUAAAUAAUCAACCCAUUUAAUGAAGGAGGAAAUUCAGUCUUACCUAACAAAACAUGUACCACACUGAUUGCAAAAUUUAUCUUUGAGAAAAUACAAAUUAUUGCAUACCCCAACUUUACUAAGAUGUUGCUAGAAGCCAGUUUGUCCCAUCUAAACAGAUUGCUAUACGUGUCUCAGUGUCACAAAAUCCUUUGACCUUACUGAAGACCAACAAGCAACACCUGAGUAGUGACCAGAGUGAGCAGAUAUAUUGAUUUUGCAUUCCAUGACUGAUGGACAUGUCCCACUUAACACCAACGAAGAUAUCACUGUAAACAGAGUGUACGUUACUUUUGCUCCUCUCAGAUACAGUUAACUGAAGAUCCUGAAUUCCUAA